rnacentral:lncRNA from 1 species
GACUGUGUUGAGAUACUGAGUAGCUAAUAAUAUCCUGCCAAUAAACUGAACACAUUUGCAGAUUUUUUGCAUUAAUGUUUAUUUACUUGUGUUUCAGGUCUUCCACACCUUCAUUGUGUCCUUUAAUGAGCAGCGGCGUCCUGUAAUGCCAUUACUAACAGCGAUGAAGAGGACUCCUCAUCUUAGUGCAGAGCAGAAAGCUCUUAGACGAGCCUGGGAUGCUCUUGCUGAGAAGGUCACUGCAUCACAGGAACUUUCUCUGUUGUGUUACUUGUUUGAUAUUUUAUAGGUUUUGAGUAUUCGACUGUGUGCUGAGAUUCUCAAUAGAAAAACAGAAACAUAACAUGUUUGUCUGAAUGCAUGUCAUCUAAAUAGAAAGCAUAUAGAAAUUCGUACAGUAGAAGUCUUAUGCUAAUUUAUGUCUAUGUGUAGCUACGAGAGUAUAAAACAGAGCUGGACAUGAGCCUUCCAUCCCCACUGGACACUGUAGGCCGCUGGUUAUUGCGUAUUGAAGAGGUUUUAUCUGUUGAAGAGGGCGAGCCAAUAGAUCACGCCCGAGCUGCGGAGGAGGCUCGGGAGAAACUUGAGAUACUAAAGGUGUGUUUGGAGGAGAUGCCACAUCAUAUCAAAAGGUUUAAUAUGUUUCAAAACACAAAUGAGUUUGGAGAGGCUCUGGUGCCAGCAGACAAGAUGGAAGAGAUGAAGAGAAGGUGGGUUUGAUUGCUUAAGUCAUAUUGCAAAUGAAACAGCAUCACUUUUAUUUGCAGUAUUGCUGUUCUUGUUUCAUGAAAUGCAGUAAACUAUUUCAUAUUUUUGUUUAUGCGUUCAUUUUCCAGGUUCACCAAUGUCCGUGUUACAGCUAAAUAUCAUGGUAUUAAGCUGGAGUACCGUGAGCGCAGACACACAGUGUUAGACCUUCUAAAUCAACUCAACAUUAAACUGCGAUCUUGGAAAAGAGCCUACAUUUCCCAGGAGGCUGUUCGUGUGCUAAUGCAGGACUGGAAUGUAAGUGAGAAUUUUAGUGAACUCAAAUAAAGUGAAUGUAUUUUUAAAAUAUAUUUGCUGCUAGGCAAUUAAAAUUAAACAUUAAACUCUGAAAUUAUAUAUGCUUUAUACUUUGAUCCCAAUGAAUGUUUUUAGGAGACUGUGAACAAACAGGAACUGACUUCUUUGCUGGAUGGAGCCCUCCAUAGACUCAAACUAAUCGCCAACAAAUACACCAGCAAGGCUGCCUUGGGUAAUACAAAGAAACUUUAUAUGCAUGCUCCUAAAAGACCAUAAAAUUAUAAUGAAAUGGU